AAACGACUCUCGGCAACGGAUAUCUCGGCUCACGCAUCGAUGAAGAACGUAGCAAAAUGCGAUACUUGGUGUGAAUUGCAGAAUCCCGUGAACCAUCGAGUUUUUGAACGCAAGUUGCGCCUAAAGCCAUUCGGCCGAGGGCACGCCUGCCUGGGCGUCACGC
rnacentral:rRNA from 1 species